CGUCAAGUCAUCAUGGCCCUUAUGGGCUGGGCUACACACGUGCUACAAUGGCGGUGACAAUGGGCAGCCACUCAGCGAUGAGGAGCUAAUCCCUAAAAGCCGUCUCAGUUCGGAUUGAGCUCUGCAACUCGAGCUCAUGAAGUCGGAAUCGCUAGUAAUGGCGCAUCAGCUACGGCGCCGUGAAUACGUUCCCGGGUCUU
rnacentral:rRNA from 1 species